rnacentral:misc_RNA from 1 species
AACAAGGCGUACCUGCGGACCUGCGGAAGGAUCAUUACGAGAGUGUCACCACUCCCAACCCAUUGUUUACCUACCCGUCCACCGUGCUUCGGCAGGCAGCCCUGUGGGACAGAGCCUCGCCCCCUUUCGCGGGGGGUGCCUGCCGCUUGCCAACCAAAACUCUAGCUGUUUUAGUACCAUCUGAGUCUUCCACAAAUGAACAAAACUUUUAACAAUGGAUCUCAGAUCGGAAGAGCACAC